rnacentral:rRNA from 1 species
AAUCAACGCUGGCGGCGUGCCUAACACAUGCAAGUCGAGCGCGAAAGUGGGCUUCGGCCCGCGAGUAGAGCGGCGAACGGGUGAGUAACGCGUGGGUGAUCUACCUUCGAGUGGGGAAUAACACCGGGAAACUGGUGCUAAUACCGCAUGACAUCCUCGGUUCGUUCCGAGGAUCAAAGCCGGGGACCGCAAGGCCUGGCGCUUGAAGAGGAGCCCGCGUCCGAUUAGCUUGUUGGCGGGGUAAUGGCCCACCAAGGCUUCGAUCGGUAGCCGGCCUGAGAGGGCGGACGGCCACACUGGGACUGAGACACGGCCCAGACUCCUACGGGAGGCAGCAGUGGGGAAUUUUCCGCAAUGGGGGAAACCCUGACGGAGCAACGCCGCGUGGAGGAUGAAGGCCUUCGGGUCGUAAACUCCUGUCGAUCGGGAAGAAUGCACACGGCCCAAUACGUCGUUGUGUUGACUGUACCGGUGGAGGAAGCCACGGCUAACUCUGUG